CCUGCAUGUCAUUAAACAGCCUCUUUGUCAGGGCAUACUCCCUCUUAUAUGACCCAUAAACAUUGCAGAUAAAAUCUAUUUGAAUCAAGGUGUUACUUUAGUGCAACCUGAAAGAAAAAUAGACUUUUAUGAAGGUGUUAAUAUCAAGGCAACAUAUCAUACAGGCACAUUUGCAAUCAUUUCUUAAUAGCAGAUAUUUCCCUGUCCGUCCACAGGCCUACAGUCUCUGCCGGACUGAGCAUGAGCAGGUCUCACUGUUGUCUGACCUUCUGAUUCGCAGAGGAGAGGGCAUCACCUCCACCACUCGUAGGGUUGGUCCUGAGCUCUCCAAACGCCUCUUCCUCAUGAUGAAUUUCUCUGAUCCUGAGCAGACUCUGGACUCCAACCUCUGAAAUUCAAAGCUGGUUACAAAACUGGCAUUUGUGUUGACUGCUAGAAUUCAUCAUUUAUCUUCCUGGCAUGUUUUCUCAUUUAGCACUGCACUUCACAGCAACUGCUAUCAAAAUAAAAUUUAUAUUUUUCUAUUACUACUUUCAUAAUUAUCUUUACAAUAGUGCGUUAGGCUGGCUUUGCACUUGUCAUCUCCUCUUUAGAGACACUUUAGAAAGAUGAUACGACCUUGUAUUAGAGCUUAGAUUUUUCUGUUUUUUGCAUUUUUACCAGAAGUGUCAUGUCCAAAAUUAUUUAUAAUCAGAAAUUACAGAAUAAAAACAGCUUACAUACCA